GACUCCUCAAAAUAUCACUUGUUAAAUAACUGAAUAAAUUUGUUAAAUAAGGUGAUGUGAACAUAUUCAGUGACAGAAACUAAGAGGCCAGAGCAUAAAACAGAAGUUCCAGGUCUUUAAAGAAGUAAUUAGCAUAGAUUGGGGCCCCAAUCUAAUAGGACUCGUGUCCUGAUAAGAAGAGACACCAGGGCCAUGGGUGCAUAGAGAAAAGGCCAUGUGAAGACAGAGGCGGAGGACAGCCACCUGCAAGCCAAGGAAGAGACCUUCAAAAAAACCAAAUGUACUGAUACUUUGUGCUUGAACUUCCAACCUCCAGGACUGUGAGAAAAUAAAUUUCUGCUC
rnacentral:lncRNA from 10 species